ensembl:lncRNA
CGCGGACACAGAUCGCACAGGAAGUAUCGUGGAGACAGAAGGGGUGGCUCCAGACCGCCCUCCCCACCCCCGGCUACAGGCACCCACAUACUCACGUAGCCCACCCAUUGGUUCAGGCCGUGACGUUGGAAUUCCACUACAGUAUUGAAUUAUUUUUGUGCCAAUGAAAACUAUACCCAGACUUCCAGAAGAACUGAAUACGAUGAAACCCAUUGACUUAUAGUGGACUCGUGGUAUUUGUAAGCACGCUGUGGCAAAGCACCACAAUGUUUCAGGAGGCUUGAGAGGUGCACUUCUAACAUCUCCUUGAUCAGGCAGAG